AGAGUUCGAUCCUGGCUCAGGAUAAACGCUGGCGGCGUGCUUAACACAUGCAAGUCGAACGAAGUUUUUCUUUCGGGAGGAACUUAGUGGCGGACGGGUGAGUAACGCGUGGGUAACCUGCCCUGUACAGGGGGACAACAGCUGGAAACGGCUGCUAAUACCGCAUAAGCCCUUAGCACUGCAUGGUGCAUAGGGAAAAGGAGCAAUCCGGUACAGGAUGGACCCGCGUCUGAUUAGCCAGUUGGCAGGGUAACGGCCUACCAAAGCGACGAUCAGUAGCCGAUCUGAGAGGAUGUACGGCCACAUUGGGACUGAGACACGGCCCAGACUCCUACGGGAGGCAGCAGUGGGGAAUAUUGCACAAUGGAGGAAACUCUGAUGCAGCGACGCCGCGUGAGUGAAGAAGUAUUUCGGUAUGUAAAGCUCUAUCAGCAGGGAAGAAAAUGACGGUACCUGACUAAGAAGCACCGGCUAAAUACGUGCCAGCAGCCGCGGUAAUACGUAUGGUGCAAGCGUUAUCCGGAUUUACUGGGUGUAAAGGGAGCGUAGGUGGCAAGGCAAGCCAGAAGUGAAAACCCGGGGCUCAACCGCGGGAUUGCUUUUGGAACUGUCAUGCUAGAGUGCAGGAGGGGUGAGCGGAAUUCCUAGUGUAGCGGUGAAAUGCGUAGAUAUUAGGAGGAACACCGGAGGCGAAGGCGGCUCACUGGACUGUAACUGACACUGAGGCUCGAAAGCGUGGGGAGCAAACAGGAUUAGAUACCCUGGUAGUCCACGCGGUAAACGAUGAAUACUAGAUGUCGGGUAGCAAAGCUACUCGGUGUCGUCGCAAACGCAAUAAGUAUUCCACCUGGGGAGUACGUUCGCAAGAAUGAACUCAAAGGAUUGACCGGGACCCGCA
rnacentral:rRNA from 1 species